rnacentral:lncRNA from 1 species
GCACGGGCCCUGUGAGCGAUCGCGGUGGGCUUGGGCUGGUGACGCGUGCGCCGGCCGGCCGCCGAGGGGCUACCGUUCUGCCUCCGACCGAAAUACUAGGCUUUAGAAUUUCACCAUAUGAAUUUUGGGAGAGAGGAGCACAGUUCAGCCCAUAACUAACACACGACGGAAUGAAGUUGAUAAUAGUGAGACCUUGUUGGUACAAGACUAUGUAACAUAACCUGCGCUUCUCAACAAAGAAUUGCUUUUCUGACUUCUGCACUCAACUACUCAACAUGAAGGCAAUAAGAAUGAAGACCUCUAUGUAUAAUAAUUGACUUCCACUUAAUAAAUAAGGUUACUUGGUACACUGGUCGACAAAACCUUGAAAUGUUGAUGUUUAAGGGCUGUUGAUUGCUGGCAGCAAAGAAGUCCAACUGUGCUGGUACCCGAGAUAGCGUCUCCACAUUUUCUUCCAGGAUCAUCACCUUUGUUCUAAAUAGCUCCCACAUAGUGUGAACAGAAGUCAUAUGUUUUAGAUUUUCUGCCUUGGCACCCAGGAAACCAGUAUGAUUGAGUAAACAUAUUAAACUUCCUCUGCAUUUCCAGCCUGAACAGAUGUUGAGUACAAGCUGAUCCACCUACGUUCAACCUGAGAGAGUCCACAUCCACAGACUGUUUCAUUUCCCUUUUUCAAUUUACAUAGAAGCAUAGAUUCUUGCUGGCAUAUACAAAUGCGCCAUUUAAGGCAAUCAAAAAUGGUUCCACAUCUCAUCUGAUUUCCACAAUUGUUGCUGUAACGAUGGACUACUGAGGAGAGAGACAAUUUCUCUGGCACAUCUUCCCACAUUUUAGCAACAUGUUCAUGGAGAGCCAAUAUUCAGUAAUUACAGCCCAAUUCCUCACAAUUUCACAAUUCGCUAACAAUAUGCAUUUUCACAAUGUAAAGCUGAUUUUCCUUUAACCAAAUCAAACAUGAAAAGAUAGCUGCAUGCAAUGGGCAAUCUAGAUCAUUAGAAGAUUGAUGUAAAAUUAGAGGACACUGAGACUGGAAUAGAUUGCAAACUUCAGGGAGCUCAGAAAACUUGUAAACUCUACAUUUUGAGGAAAUAUGUUGUCGAUGCUUUUGCAACUCUAUGCAGUAACUUAACAAAUAAAGCCUUAAAGUAAC